rnacentral:rRNA from 1 species
UACAGAGGGUGCAAGCGUUGUUCGGAAUUAUUGGGCGCAAAGGGCGCGUAGGCGGUGCGGUAAGUCUGUAGUGAAAUCUCUGGGCUCAACUCAGAGUCUGCUGCAGAAACUGCCGUGCUUGAGUGUGGGAGAGGUGAGUGGAAUUCCCGGUGUAGCGGUGAAAUGCGUAGAUAUCAAGAGGAACACCAGUGGCGAAGGCGAGUCCCUGGACAAUUCCUGACACUGAGGCACGAAAGCCAAGGGAGCAAACAGG